UCUCUCUCUUAGUCUACACAUAAAUCUAUCGUUGGUGUAUUAUCUUUGGUUCUAUCAGGAAGUUAUCAAGCCUCGAGAUAGAAUCAGCAAAUAAUAAUAUAUAUUUGACAGAGAGCGAGGUUUAUAUAAUAUAUUUAUUGCGGUCAUUUUGUACUUGACCAGUGGUACAUGCGAAUUACAUGGUAGAAAAAUCCUUUAAUACUCUACAAUGUACAAUGUGUGACAAAAUCUUGUUUUUCGGUCAAUGCAUUUUCUUGUUUCUCUCAAUAAAUCACUGGACCUACGAAAGAGCAAGAGAGAAAGAGAAUCAAAUCCAAAGAGAAACCAAGUUAGUUAUUCUUUUUUUCUUUCUACUCUUCGAAAAAGAUAACUGUCCAUUUGUCUUCACACUGUCAAGAAGAAAAACUUUCAAUCUUCUGCUUGGUUCGAAAUCGUAACAUGUAUUUACACCAUUGGUGUGGAAAUAUUGGCCAUAAUAGACGAUCAAAUAUUUCGAUGUUAAUGUCAUUCGAUUUCCUCGAAAACUUGGAGUAAAUCUGAGAUCUCACCUUUCGAAACAAAAAGUUUCCUCAUCUUUUUCUUGGUCAAUUUUUUCCAUCUUGAAAUGUCCAAAGAAUCGAGACAAUUAAUAUAAGUAAGCCGAGGUGAAGGUGGAUUAAGGAAGCAAUUUAAAUCUCAUCUUCAUCCUUUCCUUAAUUUCAAUCAGAACUUCAUGUAGUUUGAAUGAUGAUAAUGAUGAUGAUGAUGAUGGUUUCUCCUUGGAAAUUGGCAUAAUCAAUUGAUCAGUUAAAGAGAAAUGUUUUCCUGUCAGUGAGAAGUUUAAAAUUGUUACAAUUUGUUUAUCCACAAGGAACAAAAUAUUAAAGGUAAACACUCACGGAUUCAAUAAUAAUAACAAGCCAAUUGGAUGAGAGGUUAAAGGUUAUUGUUAUUGGCCUUUUCGCGUUUUGUUAACUACAAUCCAGAAGGAAGCAAAUGAUUUGAAAUAAAAGGAUCGUUAAUUGGAGUUAAAUGAGAUUUGAAAGCUCAAUCAUUAAGCGAAAAGAAAACGAGAAAAGUAACUCAAAGAAAAAAGGAAAGAGAACAAAAAAGUUUUAAAUUGAUUGCCCAAAGUUUUUUCGCUCUCUCAUUAGGAUUUUCUUUCUCUCGUUUUCGCUUAUUAUUAUUGUUUUUACUGGAAGAAAAAGGAAAAUUUAACAAUAAUAAUCGCCGGAGUAACAAAACGCUAUUGGAAAUGCACGUGAAAAAAUAACAAAGAGAAAAAUAUUAUCCACCAAAGAAGAGAGAAGGAAAUUUCCUCUCUCUCUCUCUCGAAACUUUUACAUAUUGGACAUGAUGAUGACCAAACCCUCGAGCUGUUUUCCUAUGGUUCAAGUGAAAGUAGAUCGUGCACACGAAAGGAAUAUCUCUCCUCCUCUCUUUCUCUCUCCCUCUCUUCAUCAUCCAUGUAGUGACCAGAAUAUCUCAUUAACCCUAUCACUGUCUUCACCAUCAACCGCAUAAACAUAACCAUCAUCAUCAUUAACCAUUUAAGUUCCUGGGCGGUCAUUUUAGACCCAUUUCUAAGCCCAUCGUUCCGUUGAAAUGAUUUGCUUGGCAAGACCCGUAAACACAAAAGUCUAUUAUGAUUGUUGUUUAACCUGCUUAAGAUAAUCUUUGUUUUUGGUCAAGGAAACAAACAAACCACAAAAACGUUAGAUGGACAUGGAUAAGUAGAUAAUAGAAAUGGAUAAAAUAACAAGAGAAUAUUUAGAAAAUAUUCUGUAAUAUUUUUGGCGUUUUCUCUCUCUCUCUCUCUCUCUUUCUCUUCCCAUUUUCUACUCCACCUCUACCUUCAUCAUCCUCCUUCAUCUUUUUCUUUUUUUCUUUCUCCUUCUUUCUUCAUAUUUCGCAUCAAUGGAUUCGUGAGUUGAUGAUGAAGCAAAACGGGAUAAAAGCAUUUACAAGGAAUAGACAAAAACAACAACAAACCCAACAUAUGGUCGACCUGAGGUCCAAUUUUAGGAGCUGAUUUUCUGUGAUAAAAAUGAUAUAAAAUGAAAAUGGUAAAGGUCGAUAGCGAUAAACUCAAUUCAUAGGCACGCAUCAGGAAGAUGAGGAGGAUGAGGAGGUGGAAGAGGAAGUAAAACAGCCGAUGAUGAUGAUGAUGAGGCCUUUUCGUUUCCUCCAAUGGUCAGUUUAUCACCAUUAUUUGUUUAAAGACCCUUUUAAAGAGAUGGUAAUUAAAGGGGAGGGAUGAUGAUGAUGAUGAUGGUGAUGGUCAUCUUUCAGAUAGAGAUGAUUAUGAUUACCGUUGGUGUAUAAAUGAAGGUAAAAGCUCAAUGGAGGACAGAGAUACAUGAAUCUGGCAAAGGAGAAACAAAAUAAUCUUUUAUGAAAAGAUGAUAAGUUUAUCAUCAUAAUGACUAUGAUGAUGAUGAUGAUGAUAAUGAUGAUGAUAGAAUAGAUAAUGUUUAUGAUGGUCAUUUGUGAAGGUAAAAAAUUCACUUCUCUUUUCUUUUUAAAUAAUAAUAGUAGUGAGAGAGUAAUGAUAAUGGUAAAAGUGAAUAGAUUACUAUCGGUAUGAGGGAGAAUCAUCAUCAUCUCUCUCUCUCUCUUUUAUCUUCAUUAUCAUCAACAUGAUGAUGAUCAUCAUUUAAAUGAUGAGGAGUUUACAUGUUCAUCAUCAUCUUUACUAGAAAAAAAAGUUACCAACACACAAAAGCAUAUGGAUGGUUUGGUUUGGUUAGUUGAAUGAAUGGGCGAUGAUGAUGAUGAUGAUGAUAAAAUAACACCAGCCCAAAGAGUAUCUGAGAAGAAGAAAAGAAAGAGAGAUGAUGAUGAUGAUAAUAUCUACAUAAUGUCAGGUCAGUUUUUCAAGUCUACAUGAUGAUGAUAAUCUUAUAAACGUUUACCCUCACCUCACCUUUUCAACAUUCACCUUCCGCCUUUAACCAAGUUACUCCCAAGACAUUUACUCAUGGACACAUUGGGCUACUCUGGGCGCACUCAAGUAAUAAUAGUCAAGUCGCAAAGUUAAUUGUAAGUCUAUGUCAAAACAAUGUUAAUCUCUGGGCACUAACCCUGAACAUAUGAUGGUGAUCACAUCAACAGUGAUCAACAUUUUACCAAGUAUAAAAAAAGAUGAGAGGAUAAGGAUUGGAAAAGUAAAGGAGAUAAUCUCACUGAUCUGUCUCUGUGUAAUAAUCAUGGUCGUCAAGGCAAACCAAUCACUCUGUGGAUAUGAUGAUGUAUUAUGUAGAUUGCGGAUGGAGAGGCAAAAAAUUGAGCAACCAUUUUGUUCUGGCAGGCCAAUAACACGACAAAAAGACAUCAAAUUGACGAGAAUGAAGAGCCUCCUGAUUGCUGAACUGAUUUGACUUUGACUGAAUUUUUAUCUCUCUCCAAUUGCUUUGAUUUUUUUACUGUUGAAGCCAAAAAAAAGGUAGAAACCGAAAAGAAGAAAAAAAAAGUUCUGAUAAUCAUCUAAAUGUAGGAUUUUUGAUCCAUCACAGAAUUGAUGUAAAGUGACAUGCACACUGUUUAUCAUUACGAUUCUCUCUUACUCUUCAGCGUCAUUUCCUUUCUGAUCUUCUAUCAGUUUUCUCAUCAUCAUCAUCAUCAUCUUCAUCUCCAUCAUAUAUAUGAGGAUAUUAAUCAUUUCCAUCUCAAUUCUAAUCAUUUUAUCAUUUUUCCUGCAAAUUGCUUAUGCACAAAAGCAGAAACAGCAAAAAAAAAAAAGGUUGAUUUGCAAAAAAAGUCCCAACAUUUGCUGUAAAAAUAAUAAUUAAUAUUGCAAAUGUUAAUUGCACUUGUUGAAACUGUUAAUUGUAAUUGUUUGCAAAAUAAUGUUUCAUUAUUUAAUUGUUACUAUUAAUAUUAUGUA